rnacentral:rRNA from 1 species
UACGUAGGUGGCGAGCGUUGUCCGGAAUUACUGGGCGUAAAGCGCACGUAGGCGGAUUUGUAAGUCAGGGGUGAAAUCCCGGGGCCCAACCUCGGAACUGCCUUUGAUACUGCAAAUCUCGAGUCCGGAAGAGGUGAGUGGAAUUCCUAGUGUAGAGGUGAAAUUCGUAGAUAUUAGGAAGAACACCAGUGGCGAAGGCGGCUCACUGGUCCGGUACUGACGCUGAGGUGCGAAAGCGUGGGGAGCAAACAGG